rnacentral:lncRNA from 1 species
GAAAGUAGAGAAGAAAGACACAGGAGGAGAAGUGUAGUUUUAUCCAGUACAGGCAUGUAUUGGUCCCCUGGGGCUGCCGGGACAAAGUCCCACAAAUUUGGUGCCUUAGAUAACAGAAAUGUAUUCUCCCGCAGUUCUGAAGACUAGAAGUCCAAAACCAAGGUGUCAGCAAGACCAAGCUCCCUCUGAAGCUCUAGGUGGAAACUUCCUUGCCUCUCCCCAGCUUCUGGUGGCAGCCAUCCAUCCUUGGAGUCCCUUGACUUGCAGCUGCAUCACUCCAAUUUCUGCGUCUGUUGUCACAUGCUCUUCUCUCUGUCUCUGUCUCUUCACAUUGUCUUCUUAUGAGGACACCAGUUGUACUGGAUUAAGGACCCACCUUGCUCCGUCAUAAUCUCACCUUAACUAGUUACAUCUGCAAUGACCCUGUUUCCAAAUAAGGUCACAUUCUGAGGUUCUAGGGGUUAGGACUUUAACAUCUCUUUUUGGGGAACACGAUUCAACUUGUAACAGGGAGAGAUUUAAGAAAUUGAAUCAAUAAGACUUAGAGAGGCUGGCCCGGUGGUGCAGCGGUUGAGUUCGCGCGUUCUGCUUCUUGGCAGCCUGGGGUCUGCCGGUUUGGAUCCCCGGUGCGGACAUGUAGGCACCGCUUGGCAAAAGCCAUGCUGUGGUAGGUGUCCCACAUAUAAAGUAGAGGAAGAUGGGCAUGGAUGUUAGCUCAGGGCCAGUCUUCCUCAGCAAAAAGAGGAGGAUUGGCAGUAGUUAGCUCAGGGCUAAUCUUCCUAAAAAAAAACACACAAAAAAGACUUAGAGAUUGAUUACAUACUUGGGGGAGGGUCAAAUAAAGGAUAGAAGUUAUGUGCUGAUUUCUGCGUAGAUGGUGGUCAAAUGAACUGAGUAGGGAACACAGGAACAGAAGUGCACUUCAGGGGGAAGGUGAUGAGUGCCAUUUUGUAUGUAUAUCAGCUGCCUUAGGGGCUGCACAGGCUGUGCUGAACAGCCCUGGGGGUUCUUGGACAAUCUAAACCUUCAAGAUCUUAG